AUUACUUCUCUAAACAACUUUUAGUCACUUAUAGCAAAAUACAUACCCUUAGCAUUGCUUAUUUAAACCAAUUAACUUAUUUAUUCGGAAAAUUGCCGUAAGGGCAGAACAUUCGCCAUGGAGAUUUGAGGUCAGCAAAGACUGCAGUUCAAGAACUCUGAGUGUGUUUGUGUGGGAGUGGGCACCUUGAGCAGCGACUGCAACCAGGAUGCGUUGAGAAGACUCUGUAGAAUCUCUGCACCGUCGAUGUCCUGAUUCAGGGAAGAAGAAGAAGAAGGAUGCCACCAGCUUCCAGGAUCUUCCAGAUCCCGCAAAGAUCCUAUGUCAUCGAUCCCGUUGCAGAACAAAGAAUAUUCCCUGGCAAAGUGGAGACUCAACACAGCACCAAGCGUCCGACUACGAGAAGCGAGAGAGCUGUAAUCUCUCCCGAUCCCACUUAAUCCCGUGCAAGAGAACCUGCUGCCUCUGGCCGCCGGAAUCCUGCCCUCCCCCCCCCACUCACUCACUCGCUCGCUCACUCGCUCGUUGGUUGCUGUGGAGCUGACAAAUCUUCUUAACUCUUUCAACCAGAGCUGUUGGAAAAAGGAGGUGGCUCCGCAGGUUGGUGACCCAGCUUGGAACGUACCAUUGAGUUUGGUUUUGUUUCUGAAUGCCACAUUUUACACGUGGAAGAAUUCAACAGUGGAUGAAACAUAAUGUCAGUUUCUGUGGGGAAGAUUCGACAUAUUCAACUGACACCAUAGUUACACAAUG